CUACUUUUGCUUCUUGACAUUGCAGAAAAAACAGAAUAUGUUUAUGCUCGUGUGAAGCUUUCAAGAUAUUCUUUAGAGGUUCUGUCUGAAGAUUUGCCUGCUACUAUUUCUAAAAUAUCAUUUCCAAAGACGAUGAAAUGGAAUUCCCAGGUAUGUGGGAUUUGAGGCAGAUGAAGAACCAGAAAUCUCCCAAAUACGAUCUUCCGUUGAACAAGAUAUUUAAAGAACAAGAUUUUUUUCUCUUCUAUCAGAAGGUUAAUAAUUUUUAUUAGAAGAUACUUAUGUAGGAUACAAUAUUUUGGUUUUUUAUAGUUUAUUAGUAGUAAAUUCUAAGUGGUCUAAUGUAUAUUUUGAUAUGGGUAUGUUUAAUUUAGUGUGAGAUGUAUGAAUACUCAUUUAUGAUCAUCCCAAUAUUUUUAGUUCAUUAUAAA